AUAUUUAUAGUUUAAUUGAGAACAUUAUUUUUUCAGGAUAAAGGUCGGCGUUAAGUUUGGUUGUAAAUAUG
rnacentral:tRNA from 1 species